GCUGCCCCUGGCCGCAGCGUCGCAGGAGUGGCUGCUGUGCUGUGCGCAGCCGCGGGGCGGAGAGCAGCUGGCUGUUCCUACACCCGGUGCUCAGGCCCGUGGGCGCCGAGAAUGGCUUGCAGCCUGACACA